UUAAUUCAUAUUUGUAUGGAAUGGGAUCGUUUGCGUACGUUUGCCGCUAGGGGCGCUGUUCCGAUUGCAUAAAAAACUGGCUUA
rnacentral:pre_miRNA from 1 species